rnacentral:misc_RNA from 1 species
CAACCUACGAGCUGUUAGAAGGGUUCUUACAUGCGGUUCCGGGUACGGGUAUGUGGGAAUGUGUGGACUUUUAUCCGGUUGCAAUAAACGGGUCCCAGGGAUUAGAUACAUCAGCUAAUGGACCGGAUAUUAAGCAUGUGCUAAAGGCUAGUUUGGAUAAUACAAAAGUAGAUUAUUAUGCACUCGGAACCUAUGACCCAGUAACAGAUAGAUGGACACCCGAUAACCCGAAGGAGGAUGUGGGUAUUGGGUUACGGGUGGACUAUGGAAGGUACUACGCCUCAAAGACAUUUUAUGACCAGUACAAGAAAAGGAGGAUUCUAUGGGGUUG